CUGUAUCGCAUCGCGGUGAGUUUCUAUUUCUUGGUAAUUCGGUUUGUGAAAUGACUAUUAAUUACAAGCACAGCAUCAUCAACGGUGAUUGCAAGAACUACUGCAAUCCAUGCGGUUUUUCCUCUUGGUAAAUGCGUUCUGGUCGUGACCAAGGGUGGUCUCCCAAAUCGGCCGGGAAUAAGGCUAUUGUUGCAGAACAAAACGCCGCAACCACUGCUGUGGUAAAUAUAUUCCAGCAGAGCUGCCCACCGCCGUCGGUGUAAUGAUUUCGAUAGCUGAACAAACGCCAUCUCCUGGGCAUUCCCACAGCUUGCCGACACUAGCUAUUAUAUCACGUGUGAAUGCAACUGCGGCUUAAUUUGGUUAUUAACAGUGCAAUAGUGCCAUGUCAUUGGCAAAAACACUAAGGGCUGCUGGCAAAUAUAGGUUGUAAAGUUUUUGGUAUCGAUGAACUUACUCGAAGAAGACGAUGGCCGAAAACAUAUGAUGAAACAACUUCUGGCAUGCCUUUGACAAUCAUUAAGUCAGACGGAGGCUUCACAUACGAUAUUUCACACAUGGCUGGAAUUCUUAACGGACAGAGCACACAUUUAAAAAAUAUAUUCAUAAUAAAAAACAUUUUCAUUUCAGUGGCGCUGUCCAUCGGCAACCCAACUGAGGUUCCGCUCCCAUCCAUAAUCGAUCCAUAAGUCAUAAUCGCACGAACUAAUCAAGGCUUCAUAGAAUCCAUCGUAGUCCGAUUUUUCGUGAAAUCUACGAAAAUGCUAUUAAGGUCGAAUA